GUGGAAUCAAAUCGGGAACAUGCAUGAAAAGUUCACCAGAGAAUAAAGGUGGAUAUUUCAGUCCGAGGACAGAGAGAAGCUCUGCUGCUGGCUCGGAUCAUAGAGCACCUUCUGUGCAGCUAUUGACAUCUAAUCUGACAUCUGAGUUGGCUUCCUGCUGCUAAAUCUACAACGUGGAGGUCAUCUAUUUAGCUUUUCCGGCACCAGCAGAAGGACAAGAUUGCUUCCUGUUUCACAGAGAAUGACCUGUUAGCUCUUGUGGUGGUUUCAAUAAGAAUGGCCCUCAUAGGGGCUGGAGAGAUGGCUCAGCAGUUAAGAGCACUGGCUGCUCUUCCAGAGGACCCGGGUUCAAUUCCCAGCACCACAUGACAGUUCAAAACUUUCUGUAACUCCAGUUCCAGAGGACCCAACAUCCUCACACAGACAUACAUGCAGGAAAAAAAUCAAUCAAUGGAUAUCAAGUAAAAAUAAAUAAAUUUUAAAAAAGAAUGGCCCUCA
rnacentral:lncRNA from 1 species